rfam:Aspergillus versicolor CBS 583.65 unplaced genomic scaffold ASPVEscaffold_2, whole genome shotgun sequence.
GGCCGAGUGGCCUAAUGGUAAGGCGUUGCUUUCCGGUUAGGAAAUCAGCAAAGAUUGCGCGUUCGAGUCGCGUCUUGGUCG